GCUUUCAUUUCCAAUGGCAAACAAGAUGAGAACAUAAUGCCUAAAUACCUGUGAGGGCUCUCAUAAACAGCACAAGGCCUUUCCACAUAACUUAAAAAAGAAAAAUUCAUCUGGUCUUCUUUAGGCUCUUCUUUAGGCUACUGGCUAGCCUCACAGUUUGCACCUUUAAUAUUUAAUGUACUUGCUUCAAAUGCAGCCCAUCUGUGACUUGCAAAUUACCAAUUAACUGUAACAGCCUGACAUCUCUAAGACGCAGUGCUAAAUCUCCACAGUUGUGCAAGCGCGCUCCAAAAUGUGGCCUGCAGACACGAUCCUCUGGCAUCCAGACCUGAAAGCCGACUGGAGCUCAGUGUGACCCUCUGCUUUCCUUCUUGAGUCCCUCAGGAUGCCAACUGGUGACGGACAAGCACGCUCGCCCCAGAUGUCCUGCCCCAGGCCACCGCCACAGCCCAGAGUCCUUCGGCAGAUUCAGUUCUGCUGCUCGCUGUUGUUUUCCUUGCCUGCACCGACUGACUGUGAAUCUUAAUAGCUUGGCUGAGAUAAGGGAGGAUUCUCAGCCUUUCUUCCCCGAGUUAACGACAGCAUGCCUGUUAAUAUGGGAUAAGCUCAAUACAAAAGAGCUCUUUAGCCAAGCUAAAGCAAACCAAAAGAUUUCAAGGACAUUUCAUGCAGAUUCCUAGGAGAAAAUCGUUCCUGUACUUACCUCUCAACAUUUAAACCUUAAACCUGAGAGUCCCUAACUCUCAUUUUGUUAUCUGAGACAAAGGAAAGGCACUGGAGAAGUGGUUUCCUUGUCUCUCAUCUCACCUGCCUUUUCUUCAACCCGCAGCAAAACAGCAAGAAACGCAGUAUAAACAGCAUUUUUCAUUUAUUUUGUGUUUUUCCUUCAAAUGUACUAUGCAGAAUGCAAUCGAAAGGAAGUAGCUGACACAGACAUAUGACUUAAUAACUAAAAAGUUUGGUAAAGGUUUAUCUUUAUAUUAGUUGUAAAAAUCAGGUCAAUUCUGUGAGCUCUAAUGUGCCUCGACAAUGUAGUCACCAGCAGCUCUGUGUGAUACUGGUGGGAUUCCCAUCAAGAUCUACAAACCAAGAUUUUAAGGUUGCUUGUGCUGUUCUAGAUAUUUCAGAUGGGCCCACAGAGCCAAAAACGCAGAAAAAAAGAAAUGUUUGUAUAUGAAAUGUUUAUAUAGCACUCUAGAAGUAGAGCAUUGUUGAGGACUGGCUCGCUGCGCGUAAUCACAUUGAUAUCAUGCAGCUGCAAGAUAAGGAAAUGGCGGAUUACCGCACCCAGCUGGUCUAGAGAAACAAGAGCAAAGACACGUACGCAAGGCUUGUCUGGGAACUCUUGUGAGAAAUCCCAGGCAAUUAGAAACAAUGAUAGUAGAGGGCAUACUGCCCUGGGAG
rnacentral:lncRNA from 1 species